GAUGAACGCUGGCGGCGUGCUUAACACAUGCAAGUCGAACGGAAAGGCCCAAGCUUGCUUGGGUGCUCGAGUGGCGAACGGGUGAGUAACACGUGGGUGAUCUGCCCUGCACUUUGGGAUAAGCCUGGGAAACUGGGUCUAAUACCGGAUAGGACCAUCGUUUAGUGUCGGUGGUGGAAAGUUUUUCGGUGUGGGAUGAGCUCGCGGCCUAUCAGCUUGUUGGUGGGGUAAUGGCCUACCAAGGCGUCGACGGGUAGCCGGCCUGAGAGGGUGUACGGCCACAGUGGGACUGAGAUACGGCCCAGACUCCUACGGGAGGCAGCAGUGGGGAAGAUUGAACAAGGGGCGCAAGCCUGAUGCAGCGACGCCGCGUGGGGGAGGACGGCCUUCGGGUUGUAAACUCCUUUCGCCAAGGACGAAGCGUUUUGUGACGGUACUUGGAGAAGAAGCACCGGCUAACUACGUG
rnacentral:rRNA from 1 species